UGAAUACGAGAUGCUACGGCAUUGAAGCAGUGUAUGUCAGACUUCCAAGAAAAGCUCGCAAUGUCAUAAACAAUAAAUGCCUGUACCAUAACCGACACAGGUGGGUAGGUAGAGUAUACUAAGGGGCGCGAGAUAACUCUCUCUAAGGAACUCGGCAAAAUGACUCCGUAACUUCGGGAGAAGGAGUGCCUUAUUUUAUAAGGUUGCAAUAACAAGAUCCAAGCAACUGUUUACCAAAAACACAGGUCUCCGCUAAGUCGAAAGACGAUGUAUGGGGGCUGACGCCUGCCCAGUGCCAGAAGGUUAAAGAAGUUGGUUAGCUUCGGCGAAGCUGAUGACUGAAGCCCUGGUGAACGGCGGCCGUAACAAUAACGGUCCUAAGGUAGCGAAAUUCCCUGUCGGGUAAGUUCCGACCCGCACGAAAGGCGUAAUGAUUUGGAUACUGUCUCGGAGAGGGGCUCGGUGAAAUAGACUUGUCUGUGAAGAUGCGGACUACCUGCACCUGGACAGAAAGACCCUAUGAAGCUUUACUGUAACUUGAGAUUGAAAUUGGACUUUAUUUGCGCAGUAUAGGUGGGAGACGUUGAGAAUAUUCUUGCGGGAAUAUUGGAGUCAUCAGUGAGAUACCACUCUUGUAAUGUUAGAUUUCUAACUUUGUAUCAUUAUCUGGUCAAAGGACAGUUUCAGGCGAGCAGUUUGACUGGGGCGGUCGCCUCCUAAACGGUAACGGAGGCGCACAAAGGUUUCCUCUGAACGUGUAGAAAUCGUAUCUAGAGUGUAAAGGCAUAAGGAAGCUUGACUGUGAGACCUACAAGUCGAGCAGGGACGAAAGUCGGUCUUAGUGAUCUGACGGUGCUGAGUGGAAAGGCCGUCACUCAACGGAUAAAAGUUACUCUAGGAUAACAGGCUGAUCUCCCCCAAGAGUUCACAUCGACGGGGAGGUUUGGCACCUCGAUGUCGGCUCAUCGCAUCCUGGGGCGGUAGUACGUCCCAAGGGUUGGGCUGUUCGCCCAUGAAAGCGGUACGCGAGCUGGGUUCAGAACGUCGUGAGACAGUUCGGUCCAUAUCCGGUGUAGGCGUUAGAAUAUUGAGAGGAGCCUUCUUUAGUACGAGAGGACCGAGAAGGACAUACCUCUGGUGUACCAGUUAUCGUGCCAACGGUAAACGCUGGGUAGCUAUGUAUGGAGUGGAUAACCGCUGAAAGCAUCUAAGUGGGAAGCCCACCUCAAGAUAAG
rnacentral:rRNA from 1 species